UACAGAGGGUGCAAGCGUUGUUCGGAAUUAUUGGGCGUAAAGCGCGUGUAGGCGGCUUUGCAAGUCGGGUGUGAAAGCCCUCAGCUCAACUGAGGAAGUGCGCCCGAAACUGCAGAGCUUGAGUACCGGAGAGGAUGGCGGAAUUCCCCAAGUAGGGGUGAAAUUCGUAGAUAUGGGGAGGAACACCGGUGGCGAAGGCGGCCAUCUGGACGGUCACUGACGCUGAGACGCGAAAGCGUGGGUAGCAAACAGG
rnacentral:rRNA from 1 species